rfam:Tetraodon nigroviridis chromosome 21 SCAF15022, whole genome shotgun sequence.
GCAGGGUGAGGUAGUUGGUUGUAUGGUUUCGCAUCAUAAAGAGCCUGGAGAUAACUGUACAACCUUCUAGCUUUCCCUGC